rnacentral:rRNA from 1 species
UGCCAGCAGCCGCGGUAAUACGGAGGGUGCGAGCGUUAAUCGGAAUUACUGGGCGUAAAGCGCACGUAGGCGGCCUUGUAAGUUGGGGGUGAAAUCCCGGAGCUCAACUCCGGAACUGCCUCCAAAACUACAAAGCUAGAGGAUGUGAGAGGAUAGUGGAAUUCCGAGUGUAGAGGUGAAAUUCGUAGAUAUUCGGAAGAACACCAGUGGCGAAGGCGACUGUCUGGCACAUUUCUGACGCUGAGAUGCGAAAGCGUGGGGAGCAAACAGGAUUAGAUA